rnacentral:rRNA from 1 species
GAUGAACGCUGGCGGCGUGCCUAAUACAUGCAAGUCGAGCGAACAGAUAAGGAGCUUGCUCCUUUGACGUUAGCGGCGGACGGGUGAGUAACACGUGGGUAACCUACCUAUAAGACUGGGAUAACUUCGGGAAACCGGAGCUAAUACCGGAUAAUAUUGCGAACCGCAUGGUUCGAGAGUGAAAGAUGGUUUUGCUAUCACUUAUAGAUGGACCCGCGCCGUAUUAGCUAGUUGGUAAGGUAACGGCUUACCAAGGCGACGAUACGUAGCCGACCUGAGAGGGUGAUCGGCCACACUGGAACUGAGACACGGUCCAGACUCCUACGGGAGGCAGCAGUAGGGAAUCUUCCGCAAUGGGCGAAAGCCUGACGGAGCAACGCCGCGUGAGUGAUGAAGGUCUUCGGAUCGUAAAACUCUGUUAUUAGGGAAGAACAUACGUGUAAGUAACUGUGCACGUCUUGACGGUACCUAAUCAGAAAGCCACGGCUAACUACGUG